UGUUCUUUGAUGUUUUAUGAAGAAUAAAAUCUGCCCAAUGAUUAUUAUUUAAUGGCCGCAGUAUCUUGACUGUGCGAAGGUAGCAUGAUCAGUUGUCCUUUAAUUGAGGUCUAGUAUGAAAGAUUUUAUGAGAGAUUAGCUGUCUUUAUUUAAUUUAUGAAUUUAUAAGCUAGGUGAAGAUACUUAGAUGAUAUUAAAAGACGAGAAGACCCCAUUAAGUUUUACAUUUUUAUUGUUUUAAUUAGUUUAACCCAAACGAGAUAAAGUGUUUAGUUGGGGCGAUUGUAAGAUAGAGAAAACUCUUAUUAUUUAGAAAUAUUUAUGGUUAGAUUUUUUAAUGAUCCAAGAUUUUGAUUAUUAGAAUAAAUUACUGUGGGGAUAACAGCGUAAUUUUCUUAUAGAGUUCUUAUCGAUGAGAAAGAUUGCGACCUCGAUGUUGGAUUAAGAUUCCUUUUUGAUGCAGCUGUUGAAAGGGGUAGUCUGUUCGACUAUUAAAUUCUUACA
rnacentral:rRNA from 1 species